GACGAACGCUGGCGGCGUGCCUAAUACAUGCAAGUAGAACGCUGAAGAGAGGAGCUUGCUCUUCUUGGAUGAGUUGCGAACGGGUGAGUAACGCGUAGGUAACCUGCCUGGUAGCGGGGGAUAACUAUUGGAAACGAUAGCUAAUACCGCAUAAAAUUGAUUAUUGCAUGAUAAUUAAUUGAAAGAUGCAACUGCAUCACUACCAGAUGGACCUGCGUUGUAUUAGCUAGUUGGUGAGGUAACGGCUCACCAAGGCGACGAUACAUAGCCGACCUGAGAGGGGGAUCGGCCACACUGGGACUGAGACACGGCCCAGACUCCUACGGGAGGCAGCAGUAGGGAAUCUUCGGCAAUGGGGGGAACCCUGACCGAGCAACGCCGCGUGAGUGAAGAAGGUUUUCGGAUCGUAAAGCUCUGUUGUAAGAGAAGAACGGGUGUGAGAGUGGAAAGUUCACACUGUGACGGUAUCUUACCAGAAAGGGACGGCUAACUACGUG
rnacentral:rRNA from 1 species